rnacentral:rRNA from 1 species
GAUGAACGCUGGCGGCGUGCCUAAUACAUGCAAGUCGAACGCAUUGUGGUUGAAAUGAUAUGAAGAACUUGUUCAGAUUUGAUUUUCAACAUUGCAAUGAGUGGCGAACGGGUGAGUAACACGUGGGAAACCUACCUCUUAGCAGGGGAUAACAUUUGGAAACAAAUGCUAAUACCGUAUAAUAAUUAAAACCGCAUGGUUUUAGUUUAAAAGAUGGUCUUGCUAUCACUAAGAGAUGGUCCCGCGGUGUAUUAGUAGUUGGUGAGGUAAUGGCUCACCAAGACAAUGAUACAUAGCCGAGUUGAGAGACUGACCGGCCACAAUGGGACUGAGACACGGCCCAUACUCCUACGGGAGGCAGCAGUAGGGAAUCUUCCACAAUGGACGAAAGUCUGAUGGAGCAACGCCGCGUGUGUGAUGAAGGGUUUCGGCUCGUAAACACUGUUGUAAGAGAAGAAUGACAUUGAGAGUAACUGUUC